rnacentral:lncRNA from 12 species
CCCCCCCCCCCCCCCCCCCCCCCCCCCCCCCCCCCCCCGCGACAGGCAGCGCAGCCCGGGGGUCCGGCCGAGCCCCGUGGCUGCCGUGCGCAGCUCCUCGGCCCUGAAGCUACUCUCAACCCAAACCUUCCUCACCCGCACCUCCUUUGGACCACACUUUCGGUCUGGUUUGUGUUUUAGGUGGGAUGAGAAGCACCGAGGGUCAGCGGGGUGCGCAUCCCGUUCUUGCUGGCUGGUUUCAAAUACCCAGGACGGGCCCCAUCACGAAGUCCGGAAGAUGAAAGGGGGGCGAGGCCCUCACCUGCUCUCAGCUGCUCCCUUUCUUGCAGCGCUGGUGGCGAAGGCAGAGUGCACGGUCUCCACCGUCGAGACUGAGGCCUGAUCUGUGGGAAAGUGGAUCUGGUUUAACUGUCCCUUGGCACGGCCCGGAGACUCCACUCCCUUGUUCACAGUGGCUUCCCCACCUGCAAAGGUAUUUCCCCUCCUUCCCCCGGCGACGGGCCGCACACCCUAUCGGAACCGAAUACCGGCUGCCAUGUGCCCGCAGCUCAGCGCGUCCCGACCAGCCUUCACCAUGAGAGUCCCGUCGAGCAGCGGCCGUUUGGUCUCUGCUCGCUGCCCCUUCCUGCGCUACAAAGCAUGCCCGAGAUGUGGAGGAGACAUUCAUGCAGAGGGUGUGCAGGAGAACGGCACUUCAGAAGGUAACAAGCCGCUGCCAGAUCCACGCUGCGGCAACAACCGUGUUCGAUGCCUCAUUGCGCAGUGCCCGUCGGUUUUGGGGAGAGACGGAGAAAUGAACGCGAGUAAACCUCUUGCUCUUGUUUCUCACUUGCGGAAGAACUCUGUUCCCCGCCGCCAGUCUCCUCCGCCUGGAGGUGUACUGCGGGCAUCCGGCCCAGGAGCCACGCCGGCCCCUUCCCAGACGCCUGGCUCGGCUCGCCGCUCAGUCACCGGCACGACGGAAAACAACAAAGGCAAAGGCUGCGGGGUUGGGAAGGCACGCACGGGGAGCCCCUCGGCCAAACUCUCGAGCAGCCCGGCUGCCGCAGUGCGGGUGGCACCGGGGCUGUGCAGGGCUGCGCAGCGGAGCGCAGCCUCCGCGGCCUCGGCGGUGCUCCACCGAGCCCGCGCGUGUGAGCGGGGAGGCACCGGGCAGCGUCUCCGCGGGGAUCACCGCAGGAAGCCCACGGAAGAUGCACAGCGGACGAAGAUGUGCCCUCAGUGCAGCAGUGAGAGACACAGGGGCAUCCACUGCGCUCCGCGUCACGGAGAGACUUAUCGGCUAGGCACCGCAAUGCCCAAGGUGUAGAAAAACAUUUGGACUGGACCGAGCGAAGUGCGGAUUUUUUUGUUGUUUUUAUUUUCUUUUUUGUUUGUUUGGGUUUUUUUAAGCGCGGUGUGUAGUCAAUUUCAGAAUUUCUACCGCUGAGCUCAAUUCAGAAGGAAAUUUGUAGUUGUGGGGGUUUUAUUUUUCUAAUCAAAAUAAUUGAGCUUGCCCUUCCUCUAAGCCACAGGAGACCUGUUGAAUUGAUUCUGUUUCCCUUCUGCUGGUGCAGUAAAACGGCAUGCAGAAAUCUGCGGGCCCCCGUAUUUAGAUGAUUAUGCAAUUUAUGUUAGAAGCAAAAGGAUAAUUAGAUAAUUCAGCUGUUGCAUUAAUUCGUUUCUUAAGGCUGGGAAAGCCUUAUCUCUAAGGUUAAUCCGAAGGUAUUUCUGUCCCCUUCGUGAAAUAGGAAACCAUGUGAGAGCAUCGAAACACGUCUGAACGUUCAGGAGCAUGUUUCUCGCACCCGAUGAUAUCACCAUCCAGUGCCCGCACUGCGGUCAUCUCUCCUGCUAAAGCCCAGGCUUUGGCAAGUCCUUUAAAAUCCCGUGAAUGUCUCUUCAUACCGCAGUGGUCGUUGGACUGCUUCUUUAGUUUCAUUGCAGGGGAGUACAUGCACACCUAAAUAUACGAGAUAUAUUAAAUACA